CGUGUGGACCUGCGGUGCAUUAGCUAGUUGGUAGGGUAACGGCCUACCAAGGCGAUGAUGCAUAGCCGAGUUGAGAGACUGAUCGGCCACAUUGGGACUGAGACACGGCCCAAACUCCUACGGGAGGCAGCAGUAGGGAAUCUUCCACAAUGGACGCAAGUCUGAUGGAGCAACGCCGCGUGAGUGAAGAAGGGUUUCGGCUCGUAAAGCUCUGUUGUUGGUGAAGAAGGACAGGGGUAGUAACUGACCUUUGUUUGACGGUAAUCAAUUAGAAAGUCACGGGCUAACUACGUGCCAGCAGCCGCGGUAAAU
rnacentral:rRNA from 1 species